GAGUACUUCCCAGAACUUCUGCUGCCAGUGUCCUUGUCCCCACGGUGAAACAGAGCCAGCCCCCGCCUCUGCAGGAGACCCCCCCAACACCAGCAGGCAUCCAGAACACCUGCCCAAUGAUCCAGAAACUCAAGCUACUUAUUGGACCCUUACCUUAAAAUAACUCAUGACAGCCUAUCCCUUAAGGACAAAUAUUUCCUCUCCUACAUCAGAGUCAAUCGACUUCCCUGGUGACGCAGCGGUUAAAAAUCUGCCUGCCAAUGCAGGGGACACGGGUUUGAGCCCUGGUCCGGGAAGAUCCCACAUGCUGUGGAGCAACUAAGCCUGUGGGCCACAACUACUGAGCCUGCACUCUAGAGCCCAUGAGCUACAACUACUGAGCCUGCGUGCCACAGCUACUGAAGCCCGUGCGCCUAGAGCCUGUGCUCCGCUACAAGAGAAGCCACUGCAAUAAGCCCGUGCACCGCAACGAAGAGUAGCCCCUGCUCUCCCCAACUAGAGAAAGCCUGCAUGCAGCAAUGAAGACCCAACGCAGCCAAGAAUAAAUAAAUUUAAUAAUAAAAAAGUAACAUUUACUGAUCAGUUACCUUGUACCAGGCACUGUACCAAACUAUUGUAUUUCCAUGUGUUAUUGCAAAAAAAUAGAAUA